rnacentral:rRNA from 1 species
UUAAGCGACUAAGCGUACACGGUGGAUGCCCUGGCAGUCAGAGGCGAUGAAGGACGUGCUAAUCUGCGAAAAGCGUCGGUAAGGUGAUAUGAACCGUUAUAACCGGCGAUGUCCGAAUGGGGAAACCCAGUGCAAUUCGUUGCACUAUCGUUAACUGAAUACAUAGGUUAACGAGGCGAACCGGGGGAACUGAAACAUCUAAGUACCCCGAGGAAAAGAAAUCAACCGAGAUUCCCCCAGUAGCGGCGAGCGAACGGGGAGCAGCCCAGAGUCUGAAUCAGCUUGUGUGUUAGUGGAACGGUCUGGAAAGUCCGACGGUACAGGGUGAUAGUCCCGUACACCAAAAUGCACAGGCUGUGAACUCGAAGAGUAGGGCGGGACACGUGGUAUCCUGUCUGAAUAUGGGGGGACCAUCCUCCAAGGCUAAAUACUCCUGACUGACCGAUAGUGAACCAGUACCGUGAGGGAAAGGCGAAAAGAACCCCGGCGAGGGGAGUGAAAAAGAACCUGAAACCGUGUACGUACAAGCAGUGGGAGCACCUUUAUGGUGUGACUGCGUACCUUUUGUAUAAUGGGUCAGCGACUUAUAUUCUGUAGCAAGGUUAACCGUAUAGGGGAGCCGCAGGGAAACCGAGUCUUAACUGGGCGUUAAGUUGCAGGGUAUAGACCCGAAACCCGGUGAUCUAGCCAUGGGCAGGUUGAAGGUUGGGUAACACUAACUGGAGGACCGAACCGACUAAUGUUGAAAAAUUAGCGGAUGACUUGUGGCUGGGGGUGAAAGGCCAAUCAAACCGGGAGAUAGCUGGUUCUCCCCGAAAGCUAUUUAGGUAGCGCCUCGUGAACUCAUCUUCGGGGGUAGAGCACUGUUUCGGCUAGGGGGUCAUCCCGACUUACCAACCCGAUGCAAACUACGAAUACCGAAGAAUGUUAUCACGGGAGACACACGGCGGGUGCUAACGUCCGUCGUGAAGAGGGAAACAACCCAGACCGCCAGCUAAGGUCCCAAAGUCAUGGUUAAGUGGGAAACGAUGUGGGAAGGCACAGACAGCCAGGAUGUUGGCUUAGAAGCAGCCAUCAUUUAAAGAAAGCGUAAUAGCUCACUGGUCGAGUCGGCCUGCGCGGAAGAUGUAACGGGGCUAAACCAUGCACCGAAGCUGCGGCAGCGACACUAUGUGUUGUUGGGUAGGGGAGCGUUCUGUAAGCCUGCGAAGGUGGCCUGUGAGGGUUGCUGGAGGUAUCAGAAGUGCGAAUGCUGACAUAAGUAACGAUAAAGCGGGUGAAAAGCCCGCUCGCCGGAAGACCAAGGGUUCCUGUCCAACGUUAAUCGGGGCAGGGUGAGUCGACCCCUAAGGCGAGGCCGAAAGGCGUAGUCGAUGGGAAACAGGUUAAUAUUCCUGUACUUGGUGUUACUGCGAAGGGGGGACGGAGAAGGCUAUGUUAGCCGGGCGACGGUUGUCCCGGUUUAAGCAUGUAGGCUGGUUAUCCAGGCAAAUCCGGAUAAUCAAGGCUGAGGUGUGAUGACGAGGCACUACGGUGCUGAAGUAACAAAUGCCCUGCUUCCAGGAAAAGCCUCUAAGCAUCAGGUAACAUCAAAUCGUACCCCAAACCGACACAGGUGGUCAGGUAGAGAAUACCAAGGCGCUUGAGAGAACUCGGGUGAAGGAACUAGGCAAAAUGGUGCCGUAACUUCGGGAGAAGGCACGCUGGUGUGUAGGUGAAGUCCCUGCGGAUGGAGCUGAGACCAGUCGAAGAUACCAGCUGGCUGCAACUGUUUAUUAAAAACACAGCACUGUGCAAACACGAAAGUGGACGUAUACGGUGUGACGCCUGCCCGGUGCCGGAAGGUUAAUUGAUGGGGUUAUCCGUAAGGAGAAGCUCUUGAUCGAAGCCCCGGUAAACGGCGGCCGUAACUAUAACGGUCCUAAGGUAGCGAAAUUCCUUGUCGGGUAAGUUCCGACC